GAGAUGUGGAGGAAAACCGAUGGCGAAGGCAGCCCCUNGGGAUGAGACUGACGCUUAGGUACGAAAGCGUGGGGAGCAAACAGGAUUACAUACCCUGGUAGUCCACGCCCUAAACGAUGUCGACUAGUUGUCGGGGGUUAACACCCUUGGUAACGCAGCUAACGCGUGAAGUCGACCGCCUGGGGAGUACGGUCGCAAGAUUAAAACUCAAAGGAAUUGACGGGGACCCGCACAGGCGGUGGAUGAUGUGGAUUAAUUCGAUGCAACGCGAAAAACCUUACCUACCCUUGACAUGCCUCGAACCUCGCAGAGAUGCGAGGGUGCCGAAAGGAGCGAGGACACAGGUGCUGCAUGGCUGUCGUCAGCUCGCGUCGUGAGAUGUUGGGUUAAGUCCCGCAACGAGCGCAACCCUUGCCACUAGUUGCUACGAAAGGGCACUCUAGUGGGACUGCCGGUGACAAACCGGAGGAAGGUGGGGAUGACGUCAAGUCCUCAUGGCCCUUAUGGGUAGGGCUUCACACGUCAUACAAUGGCCGGUACAGAGGGCAGCCAACCCGCGAGGGGGAGCCAAUCCCAGAAAACCGGUCGUAGUCCGGAUUGCAGUCUGCAACUCGACUGCAUGAAGUCGGAAUCGCUAGUAAUCGCGGAUCAGCAUGUCGCGGAGA
rnacentral:rRNA from 1 species